ensembl:lncRNA
GUAGUCUUGUGACUACCAGUCUAUUGCAUCAUAACCCUCUGCAGCACACUCGUACGCCCCAGCUGCUCAAAUGACCUUUGACCCCGCCUUCAGAUUACACACCGCAGAAGGUGUCUGUGCCUCCAUGCAAUGGAAAUGGGAGAGACUCUGAGAGGGAUGUGGGAGUGUCCCUGAAGUAAAUGAAUAGAAAUGUGGGCGUGUCCCUGAGGUAAACUUAUACAAAUGUAGGCGUGUCCCCAGGUACAUGUAUAGAAAUGUGGGCGUGUCCAUGAAGUAAAUGAACAUAAAUGUGGGUGUCUCACUGAGGUAAAUGUAUAGAAAUGUGGACGUGUCACUGAAAUAAAUGUAUAGAAAGAUUUUCUAGGUUUUCUGUAUAUCAUGGAAACUUGGAUUACUCCAGGAGUUCGGAGCCUGUUUUCUGAACUGGUACCAUCUGACUGUAAUUUUUUAUUUUUUUCUAACUCUCCUCGUUCUGUUGGUCGAGAGGGACGACUGGCUUCAGUUUUUAAACGGAAUUAUUAAUACUGUCGGAUGCUGGUGACGGAUGUUUGUUUGAGUUCUGAACUUCAGUUAUUUGUAUUGGAGUUGGAUAAUCCAGUGGUGAUUUCAGGCAUUUAUCGACCACCUGAACCACACAAAGACUUUUUAAGGGGAAUUAUGCCCAACUUUAAUCGGGGAUACAUAUAUGUGUGUUGUCGAAGAAUUUCUGACCCUUGUUGACUCUUUUUACUUGGUGCAGCUUGUGAAUGCUCCCCCUCAUAUUCAGGUGAUCGGACCUACUGUUCAAAAGAUCACGAACAGCUGCCUUGAAAUGGCGACGGUACCAGAUGACAUGAAGCAUGCUGUUGUCCAUCCACUUCCUGAAAAGCCAAAUUUACAUCCAACGGUUCUAACAAAUUUUAGUCUUUCUUCUAUGUCCAAAAUGUGGGCGUGUCAACGAAGUAAAUGUAUAAAAAUGUGGGCGUGUCAAUGAGGUAAAUGUAUAGAAAUGUGGGCGUGUCACUGAGGUAAAUGUAUAAAAAUGUGGGCGUGUCGCUGAGGUAAAUGUAUAGAAAUGUGGGCGUGUCACUGAGGUAAAUGUAUAAAAAUGUGGGCGUGUCACUGAGGUAAAUGUAUAAAAAUGCGUGUGUGUCACUGAGGUAAAUGUAUAAAAAUGUGGGCGUGUCACUGAGGUAAAUGUAUAAAAAUGUGGGCGUGUCACUGAGGUAAAUAUAUAAAAAUGCGUGCGUGUCAAUGACGUAAAUGUAUAAAAAUGUGGGUGUGUCACUGAGGUAAAUGUAUAGAAACGUUGGCGUGUCACUGAGGUAAAUGUAUAGAAACGUUGGCGUGUCACUGAGGUAAAUGUAUAGAAAUGUGGGCGUGUCCCUGAAGUAAGCAAAUAGAAAUGUGAAGGUGUGACAGGAGUCAAGAUGGCGCCGAUGGGUGUGGCCUGCUCUCCGCUGCCUGUUGUGUUUGCCCAUUUGUUUUUCCCUUUUGAAUUAAAAUAAUAAAGCUACCUUUGUUGGACCAGGUGUUGGUCAAGGAUGCGUGAUGGGCGUGGCCGAGGGAAAGCCGCACCCAUCUGUCUCCUCAAUAUCGAGAUCAUUUUAAUGCAGUCUGAGAGACAUUAGCGGCGCAGCCAGGAAUGGAAAAGUAAAAAGCUUUUCAUUAGUCUGACACAAAGCCAUCGAUUUGCCAGAACAGAACGAACAGAGAAAACAAAGAGCAGAAGAAAGAAGGGGAAUAGAAGAAAGAAUGAGAGAAAAGUGGGGAAGAAAAGAAGAGAGGAGAAUAGAAAGAAACGAAGACAGUGGAGCGGAGGGACAGAACAGUGAGGAAUGAAGAGCCGAGAAAGAGAAGGAGAGAAGAAAAGGAAAGAAUGGAGCAUGAAGGAAGGAAGGAAGGGAGAGGAAGAAGACAAGAGGAGAGAGACAGAGAGAGAGAGAGUGAGAGAGACAGAGAGAGAGAGAGUGAGAGAGACGGAGUGAGAGAGACAGAGAGAGAGAGUGAGAGUGAGAGAGAGAGUGAGAGAGACAGAGAGAGAGUGAGAAUGAGAGAGAGUGAGAGAGACGGAGAGAGAGAGACAGAGAGAGAGAGAGUGAGAGAGACGGAGUGAGAGAGACAGAGAGAGAGAGUGAGAGUGAGAGAGAGAGAGAGUGAGAGAGACAGAGAGAGUGAGAGUGAGAGAGACGGAGGGAGAGAGACAGAGAGAGAGAGUGAGAGUGAGAGAGAGAGUGAGAGAGAGUGAGAGAGAUGGAGAGAGAGAGAGACAGAGAGAGAGAGAGAGAGAAUCCUCCCCUGAGCAGGACGAUUAUGAGCCGGCUUUCCAUCACACACCACACGACAAGCGGAGACAAGUUCUGUCCAGACUAAUGAUGCCAGGGUCACUGGGGGUGUGUGUGUGUGUGUGUGUAUCAGGCGGUAAGGAAGCAUGAACCGAUACUAUACAGUGUCCUAUACAGUCUAAAAUGAGUGUCACAUUAUUUAGGAAAUCCCGCUAAAUAGAUUAGCAGUGGGGGAGGUGCACACACACACACACACACACACACAUAUAUAUAAUACACACACUCACACCCCUGUCAUAUAUGAAUAUGAUAUAAUCUCAUUAAACGUAUAUAAAGGUAUUAUGAAGGA